UACGAAGGGGGCUAGCGUUGCUCGGAAUUACUGGGCGUAAAGGGCGCGUAGGCGGAUAUUUAAGUUAGAGGUGAAAGCCCAGGCUCAACCCUGGAAUAGCCUUUAAUACUGGAUAUCUUGAGUUCGGGAGAGGUGAGUGGAACUCCGAGUGUAAGAGGUGAAAUUCGUAGAUAUUCGGAAGAACACCGGUGGCGAAGGCGGCCAACUGGACCAUUGCUGACACUCAGGCACGGAAAGCGUGGGGAGCAAAAGGG
rnacentral:rRNA from 1 species